rnacentral:rRNA from 1 species
GACGAACGCUGGCGGCGUGCUUAACACAUGCAAGUCGAACGAGUGGCGAACGGGUGAGUAACGCGUAGGUAACUACCUAUUAGAGGGGGAUAACUAUUGGAAACGAUAGCUAAUACCGCAUACUAGUAGAUGGACCUGCGUUGUAUUAGCUAGUAGGUAGGGUAAUGGCCUACCUAGGCAACGAUACAUAGCCGACCUGGGAGUGUGAUCGGGCCCACUGGGACUGAGAAACGGCCCAGAAUCCUAAGGGGGGGAGCAGUAGGGAAUCUUCGGCAAAUGGGGGAAACCUGACCGAGCAACGCCGCGUGAGUUAAGAAGGUUUUCGGAUCGUAAAGCUCUGUUGUUAAGGAAGCGGUACUUAACCAAGAAGGGACGGCUAACUACGUGCCAGCAGCCGCGGUAAUAC